rnacentral:rRNA from 1 species
CAGCCGCCGCGGUAACACGGAGGGUGCAAGCGUUAAUCGGAAUUACUGGGCGUAAAGCGCACGCAGGCGGUCUGACAAGUCAGAUGUGAAAUCCCCGGGCUUAACCUGGGAACUGCAUUUGAAACUGUCAGGCUGGAGUCUUGUAGAGGGGGGUAGAAUUCCAGGUGUAGCGGUGAAAUGCGUAGAGAUCUGGAGGAAUACCGGUGGCGAAGGCGGCCCCCUGGACAAAGACUGACGCUCAGGUGCGAAAGCGUGGGGAGCAAACAGGAUUAGAUACCCCUGUAGUCCCUUCUCUUAUACA